GUGCUUUUUUUCGCAGCACAUGUACUAAAAUUGAAAUGAUAGAGAAGAUUAGCAUGGCCCCUUCACAAAGAUUACACAGACAUCCGUGGCAUGUCCAUUAGAAAA